rnacentral:rRNA from 1 species
UAUAAGUGAUGGCGACCGGCGCACGGGUGAGUAACACGUAUCCAACCUGCCGAUAACUCGGGGAUAGCCUUUCGAAAGAAAGAUUAAUACCCGAUGGUAUAAUAAAACCGCAUGGUUUAAUUAUUAAAGAAUUUCGGUUAUCGAUGGGCAUGCGUUCCAUUAGGCAGUUGGUGAGGUAACGGCUCACCAAACCUUCGAUGGAUAGGGGUUCUGAGAGGAAGGUCCCCCACAUUGGAACUGAGACACGGUCCAA